GGCUCAGGAUGACCGCUGGCGGCGUGCCUAAUACAUGCAAGUCGAACGAGGUGCUUUUGUAGCAAUACGAGAGUAUCCUAGUGGCGAACGGGUGAGUAACGCGUUGGUGACCUACCCCAAAGUGAGGGAUAACAGUCCGAAAGGAUUGCUAAUACCACAUGUGGUCCUCGGGUUUAGAAACCGGUGACUAAAGGAGCAAUUCGCUUUGGGAGGGACCUGCGUCCCAUCAGCUAGUUGGUGAGGUAACGGCUCACCAAGGCGACGACGGGUAGGGGACCUGAGAGGGUGGCCCCCCACAAUGGAACUGAAACACGGUCCAUACACCUACGGGUGGCAGCAGUAGGGAAUAUUGCACAAUGGGCGAAAGCCUGAUGCAGCAACGCCGCGUGCACGAUGAAGGCCUUCGGGUCGUAAAGUGCUUUUCUGCGAGAUGAGAAAGGACAGUAUCGCAGGAAUAAGUCUCGGCUAACUACGUGCCAGCAGCCGCGGUAAAACGUAGGAGGCGAGCGUUAUCCGGAUUCACUGGGCGUAAAGCGCGUGCAGGUGGUUCGGUAAGUUGGGCGUGAAAUCUCCCGGCUCAACUGGGAGAGGUCGUUCAAUACUACCGAACUUGAGAGCAGAAGAGGAAGAUGGAAUUCCCGGUGUAGUGGUGAAAUGCGUAGAUAUCGGGAGGAACACCAGUGGCGAAGGCGAUCUUCUGGUCUGUUUCUGACACUCAGACGCGACAGCUAGGGUAGUAAACGGGAUUAGAGACCCCGGUAAUCCUAGCCGUAAACGAUGUGAACUUGGCGUUGGUGGGUUAAACUCCAUCAGUGCCGAAGCAAACGCGAUAAGUUCACCGCCUGGGGACUACGGCCGCAAGGUU
rnacentral:rRNA from 1 species